rnacentral:rRNA from 1 species
AUUCCGGUUGAUCCUGCCGGAGGCCAUUGCUAUCGGAGUCCGAUUUAGCCAUGCUAGUCGCGCGGGUUUAGACCCGCGGCAGAUAGCUCAGUAACACGUGGCCAAACUACCCUAUGGACGGAGAUAACCUCGGGAAACUGAGGCUAAUAUCCGAUACAGCUCGCACGCUGGAGUGCAGCGAGCUGGAAACGUUCCGGCGCCAUAGGAUGUGGCUGCGGCCGAUUAGGUAGACGGUGGGGUAAUGGCCCACCGUGCCGAUAUCGGUACAGGUUGUGAGAGCAAGAGCCUAGGAGACGGAAUCUGAGACAAGAUUCCGGGCCCUACGGGGCGCAGCAGGCGCGUAACCUUUACACUGCACGACAGUGCGAUAGGGGGACUCCGAGUGCGAGGUCAUACAGUCCUCGCUUUUCUGCACCGUAAGGUGGUACAGGAACAAGUGCUGGGCAAGACCGGUGCCAGCCGCCGCGGUAAUACCGGCAGCACGAGUGAUGGCCGAUUUUAUUGGGCCUAAAGCGUCCGUAGCCGGCCGAGCAAGUCUGUUGGGAAAUCCACGCGCUCAACGCGUGGGCGUCCAGCGGAAACUGUUCGGCUUGGGGCCGAGGACUCGAGGGGUACGUCCGGGGUAGGAGUGAAAUCCCGUAAUCCUGGACGGACCACCGAGUGGCGAAAGCGCCUCGAGAAGAUGGACCCGACGGUGAGGGACGAAAGCUUGGGUCUCGAACCGGAUUAGAUACCCGGGUAGUCCAAGCUGUAAACGAUGCUCGCUAGGUGUGCCGCAGGCUACGAGCCUGCGCUGUGCCGUAGGGAAGCCGAGAAGCGAGCCGCCUGGGAAGUACGUCUGCAAGGAUGAAACUUAAAGGAAUUGGCGGGGGAGCACUACAACCGGAGGAGCCUGCGGUUUAAUUGGACUCAACGCCGGACAUCUCACCAGCACCGACAACGGUAAUGAUGGCCAGGUUGAUGACCUUACCCGACGCCGUUGAGAGGAGGUGCAUGGCCGCCGUCAGCUCGUACCGUGAGGCAUCCUGUUAAGUCAGGCAACGAGCGAGACCCGCAUCCUUAAUUGCCAGCAGCAUCCUUGUGAUGGCUGGGUACAUUAGGGAGACCGCCACGGCUAACGUGGAGGGAGGAACGGGCAACGGUAGGUCAGCAUGCCCCGAAUGUGCUGGGCAACACGCGGGCUACAAUGGCCGGGACAGUGGGAAGCUAAUCCUAGAGGAUACGCUAAUCCCCUAAACCCGGUCGUAGUUCGGAUUGAGGGCUGAAACUCGCCCUCAUGAAGCUGGAUUCGGUAGUAAUCGCGUGUCAGAAGCGCGCGGUGAAUACGUCCCUGCUCCUUGCACACACCGCCCGUCAAAUCACCCGAGUGGGGUCCGGAUGAGGCCAUCAUGCGAUGGUCGAAUCUGGGCUCCGCAAGGGGGAUUAAGUCGUAAAAAGGUAGCCGUAGGGGAAUCUGCGGCUGGAUCACCUCCU